ACGCUCGACACCUACGGGAAGCAGCAGUUGGGAAUAUUGGACAAUGGAGGGAACUCUGAUCCAGUGACGCCGCGUGAAGGAAGAAGGUCUUCGGAUUGUAAACUUAUUUUAUCAGGGAAGAAAGAAAUGACAGUACCUGAAGAAGAAGGACCGGCUAACUACGUGUCAGCAGCCGCGGUAAUCUGAGCGGGCUGGCAAGGC
rnacentral:rRNA from 1 species